AGCUCCAAUAGCGUAUAUUAAAGUUGUUGCAGUUAAAAGCUCGUAGUUGGACUUCUGGCAGGGCGCCGAGGGCCACAGUAGUGCGCACGAGGGCCCGGCCAUCCUUCUGUCAACGUAUGCGAUGAUUCAUUUCAUGGCUGCGGGAUCAGAUAAUUUACCUUGAGAAAAUUAGAGUGUUUCAGGCAGGCUUAGCCGGAAUACAUUAGCAUGGAAUAAUGGAAUAGGACUUAGUCUCUUUGUUGGUUUGAGGGACUGGAGUAAUGAUUAAUAGGGAUAGUUGGGGGCAUUAGUAUUUAUUAGCUAGAGGUGGAAUUCUCUAAUUUGAUAAAGACUAACUUAUGCGAAAGCAUUUGCCAAGGAUGUUUUCA
rnacentral:rRNA from 1 species